UCUGGUUUUUGUAUCUGUCCAUUGAUGUCAAUUGGGUAUUAAGGUUCCCCACUAUUAUUGUAUUGAAAUCCAUUUCUCCAUUUAAAUCCAUUAA